rnacentral:rRNA from 1 species
AGCCCAGAGCCUGAAUCAGUGUGUGUGUUAGUGGAAGCGUCUGGAAAGGCGCGCGAUACAGGGUGACAGCCCCGUACACAAAAAUGCACAUACUGUGAGCUCGAUGAGUAGGGCGGGACACGUGGUAUCCUGUCUGAAUAUGGGGGGACCAUCCUCCAAGGCUAAAUACUCCUGACUGACCGAUAGUGAACCAGUACCGUGAGGGAAAGGCGAAAAGAACCCCGGCGAGGGGAGUGAAAAAGAACCUGAAACCGUGUACGUACAAGCAGUGGGAGCCUCUUUAUGGGGUGACUGCGUACCUUUUGUAUAAUGGGUCAGCGACUUAUAUUCUGUAGCAAGGUUAACCGAAUAGGGGAGCCGAAGGGAAACCGAGUCUUAACUGGGCGUUAAGUUGCAGGGUAUAGACCCGAAACCCGGUGAUCUAGCCAUGGGCAGGUUGAAGGUUGGGUAACACUAACUGGAGGACCGAACCGACUAAUGUUGAAAAAUUAGCGGAUGACUUGUGGCUGGGGGUGAAAGGCCAAUCAAACCGGGAGAUAGCUGGUUCUCCCCGAAAGCUAUUUAGGUAGCGCCUCGUGAAUUCAUCUCCGGGGGUAGAGCACUGUUUCGGCAAGGGGGUCAUCCCGACUUACCAACCCGAUGCAAACUGCGAAUACCGGAGAAUGUUAUCACGGGAGACACACGGCGGGUGCUAACGUCCGUCGUGAAGAGGGAAACAACCCAGACCGCCAGCUAAGGUCCCAAAGUCAUGGUUAAGUGGGAAACGAUGUGGGAAGGCCCAGACAGCCAGGAUGUUGGCUUAGAAGCAGCCAUCAUUUAAAGAAAGCGUAAUAGCUCACUGGUCGAGUCGGCCUGCGCGGAAGAUGUAACGGGGCUAAACCAUGCACCGAAGCUGCGGCAGCGACACUGUGUGUUGUUGGGUAGGGGAGCGUUCUGUAAGCCUGUGAAGGUGUGCUGUGAGGCAUGCUGGAGGUAUCAGAAGUGCGAAUGCUGACAUAAGUAACGAUAAAGCGGGUGAAAAGCCCGCUCGCCGGAAGACCAAGGGUUCCUGUCCAACGUUAAUCGGGGCAGGGUGAGUCGACCCCUAAGGCGAGGCCGAAAGGCGUAGUCGAUGGGAAACAGGUUAAUAUUCCUGUACUUGGUGUUACUGCGAAGGGGGGACGGAGAAGGCUAUGUUGGCCGGGCGACGGUUGUCCCGGUUUAAGCGUGUAGGCUGGUUUUCCAGGCAAAUCCGGAAAAUCAAGGCUGAGGCGUGAUGACGAGGCACUACGGUGCUGAAGCAACAAAUGCCCUGCUUCCAGGAAAAGCCUCUAAGCAUCAGGUAACAUCAAAUCGUACCCCAAACCGACACAGGUGGUCAGGUAGAGAAUACCAAGGCGCUUGAGAGAACUCGGGUGAAGGAACUAGGCAAAAUGGUGCCGUAACUUCGGGAGAAGGCACGCUGAUAUGUAGGUGAAGCGACUUGCUCGUGGAGCUGAAAUCAGUCGAAGAUACCAGCUGGCUGCAACUGUUUAUUAAAAACACAGCACUGUGCAAACACGAAAGUGGACGUAUACGGUGUGACGCCUGCCCGGUGCCGGAAGGUUAAUUGAUGGGGUUAGCGGUAACGCGAAGCUCUUGAUCGAAGCCCCGGUAAACGGCGGCCGUAACUAUAACGGUCCUAAGGUAGCGAAAUUCCUUGUCGGGUAAGUUCCGACCUGCACGAAUGGCGUAAUGAUGGCCAGGCUGUCUCCACCCGAGACUCAGUGAAAUUGAACUCGCUGUGAAGAUGCAGUGUACCCGCGGCAAGACGGAAAGACCCCGUGAACCUUUACUAUAGCUUGACACUGAACAUUGAGCCUUGAUGUGUAGGAUAGGUGGGAGGCUUUGAAGUGUGGACGCCAGUCUGCAUGGAGCCGGCCUUGAAAUACCACCCUUUAAUGUUUGAUGUUCUAACGUUGGCCCCUGACCGGGGUUGCGGACAGUGUCUGGUGGGUAGUUUGACUGGGGCGGUCUCCUCCUAAAGAGUAACGGAGGAGCACGAAGGUUGGCUAAUCCUGGUCGGACAUCAGGAGGUUAGUGCAAUGGCAUAAGCCAGCUUGACUGCGAGCGUGACGGCGCGAGCAGGUGCGAAAGCAGGUCAUAGUGAUCCGGUGGUUCUGAAUGGAAGGGCCAUCGCUCAACGGAUAAAAGGUACUCCGGGGAUAACAGGCUGAUACCGCCCAAGAGUUCAUAUCGACGGCGGUGUUUGGCACCUCGAUGUCGGCUCAUCACAUCCUGGGGCUGAAGUAGGUCCCAAGGGUAUGGCUGUUCGCCAUUUAAAGUGGUACGCGAGCUGGGUUUAGAACGUCGUGAGACAGUUCGGUCCCUAUCUGCCGUGGGCGCUGGAGAACUGAGGGGGGCUGCUCCUAGUACGAGAGGACCGGAGUGGACGCAUCACUGGUGUUCGGGUUGUCAUGCCAAUGGCACUGCCCGGUAGCUAAAUGCGGAAGAGAUAAGUGCUGAAAGCAUCUAAGCACGAAACUUGCCCCGAGAUGAGUUCUCCCUGACUCCUUGAGAGUCCUGAAGGAACGUUGAAGACGACGACGUUGAUAGGCCGGGUGUGUAAGCGCAGCGAUGCGUUGAGCUAACCGGUACUAAUGAACCGUGAGGCUUAACCUU